rnacentral:rRNA from 1 species
AAAAAAUGAACAAGGUUUCCGUAGGUGAACCUGCGGAAGGAUCAUUGUCGA